rnacentral:rRNA from 1 species
UACGUAGGGGGCUAGCGUUGUCCGGAAUCAUUGGGCGUAAAGCGCGUGUAGGCGGCCCGGUAAGUCCGCUGUGAAAGUCGGGGGCUCAACCCUCGGAUGCCGGUGGAUACUGUCGGGCUCGAGUACGGAAGAGGCGAGUGGAAUUCCUGGUGUAGCGGUGGAAUGCGCAGAUAUCAGGAGGAACACCAAUGGCGAAGGCAGCUCGCUGGGACGGUACUGACGCUGAAGCGCGAAAGCAUGGGGAGCGAACAGG